GAACAAGAACUCCAGGUCUUCAUCCAUCUCACAGAUACAUAAUGUCCAAGAGCAUCCUGGGUCAAGCCUCCCUGGAAAGCAACAACUGCCCUCAAAUGUGGCCAAAUUAGGUCGAUGGCUUGGUUCGGAUCUCCAAAGUCCAUCAGCUUCUUUGCCU